rnacentral:rRNA from 1 species
ACGGGUGAGUAACACGUGGGUAACCUGCCCAAGAGACUGGGAUAACACCUGGAAACAGAUGCUAAUACCGGAUAACAACACUAGACGCAUGUCUAGAGUUUAAAAGAUGGUUCUGCUAUCACUCUUGGAUGGACCUGCGGUGCAUUAGCUAGUUGGUAAGGUAACGGCUUACCAAGGCAAUGAUGCAUAGCCGAGUUGAGAGACUGAUCGGCCACAUUGGGACUGAGACACGGCCCAAACUCCUACGGGAGGCAGCAGUAGGGAAUCUUCCACAAUGGACGCAAGUCUGAUGGAGCAACGCCGCGUGAGUGAAGAAGGGUUUCGGCUCGUAAAGCUCUGUUGGUAGUGAAGAAAGAUAGAGGUAGUAACUGGCCUUUAUUUGACGGUAAUUACCUAGAAAGUCACGGCUAACUACGUGCCAGCAGCCGCGGUAAUACGUAGGUGGCAAGCGUUGUCCGGAUUUAUUGGGCGUAAAGCGAGUGCAGGCGGUUCAAUAAGUCUGAUGUGGAAGCCUUCGGCUCAACCGGAGAAUUGCAUCAGAAACUGUUGAACUUGAGUGCAGAAGAGGAGAGUGGAACUCCAUGUGUAGCGGUGGAAUGCGUAGAUAUAUGGAAGAACACCAGUGGCGAAGGCGGCUCUCUGGUCUGCAACUGACGCUGAGGCUCGAAAGCAUGGGUAGCGAACAGGAUUAGAUACCCUGGUAGUCCAUGCCGUAAACGAUGAGUGCUAAGUGUUGGGAGGUUUCCGCCUCUCAGUGCUGCAGCUAACG